rnacentral:misc_RNA from 1 species
GAAUUAUUAAAAAAAGAAAGAAAAAAGAAAGGGAGAAGUUGCCACUGAAAAAGCACUCACAGUACGUGCCAUUGGCCACUUAAACAUGAGAUUAAAGAGAGGAAAAAAGAAAAAAACAAGAAAAAUAGAGGAGAAGAAGAGAUUUGAGAAAGCUUUAAAAUUAUGAAAUGAUUAGAACAUAUAGCUGGGUGCAUACAAGAUGAAGCCAUAGAAGAUGCAUGGUGCAAGCAUCCAAAAAUAGCGGAGGACAAUGUGCA